rnacentral:rRNA from 2 species
CUAUACAUGCAAGUCGAACGAACUCUGGGUAUUGAUUGGUGCUUGCAUCAUGAUUUACAUUUGAGUGAGUGGCGAACUGGUGAGUAACACGUGGGAAACCUGCCCAGAAGCGGGGGAUAACACCUGGAAACAGAUGCUAAUACCGCAUAACAACUUGGACCGCAUGGUCCGAGCUUGAAAGAUGGCUUCGGCUAUCACUUUUGGAUGGUCCCGCGGCGUAUUAGCUAGAUGGUGGGGUAACGGCUCACCAUGGCAAUGAUACGUAGCCGACCUGAGAGGGUAAUCGGCCACAUUGGGACUGAGACACGGCCCAAACUCCUACGGGAGGCAGCAGUAGGGAAUCUUCCACAAUGGACGAAAGUCUGAUGGAGCAACUCCCCGAGAGUGAAGAAGGGUUUCAGCACGGAUAUCUCAUCUGUAAAAUCUGUUGUUAGGGAAGAACAACUGCCCUUCAAUUGUGGCGGUACCUUGACGGUACCUAACCAGAAAGCCACGGCUAACUACGUACCAUCAGCCGCGGUAAUACGUAGGUGGCAAGCGUUGUCCGGAAUUAUUGGGUGUUACAAACUCUCAUGGUGUGACGGGCGGUGUGUACAAGGCCCGGGAACGUAUUCACCGCGGCAUGCUGAUCCGCGAUUACUAGCGAUUCCGACUUCAUGUAGGCGAGUUGCAGCCUACAAUCCGAACUGAGAAUGGCUUUAAGAGAUUAGCUUACUCUCGCGAGUUCGCAACUCGUUGUACCAUCCAUUGUAGCACGUGUGUAGCCCAGGUCAUAAGGGGCAUGAUGAUUUGACGUCAUCCCCACCUUCCUCCGGUUUGUCACCGGCAGUCUCACCAGAGUGCCCAACUUAAUGCUGGCAACUGAUAAUAAGGGUUGCGCUCGUUGCGGGACUUAACCCAACAUCUCACGACACGAGCUGACGACAACCAUGCACCACCUGUAUCCAUGAACUCAAACGAAUUGACGGGGGCCCGCACAAGCGGUGGAGCAUGUGGUUUAAUUUGAAGCUACGCGAAGAACCUUACCAGGUCUUGACAUACUAUGCAAAUCUAAGAGAUUAGACGUUCCCUUCGGGGACAUGGAUACAGGUGGUGCAUGGUUGUCGUCAGCUCGUGUCGUGAGAUGUUGGGUUAAGUCCCGCAACGAGCGCAACCCUUAUUAUCAGUUGCCAGCAUUAAGUUGGGCACUCUGGUGAGACUGCCGGUGACAAACCGGAGGAAGGUGGGGAUGACGUCAAAUCAUCAUGCCCCUUAUGACCUGGGCUACACACGUGCUACAAUGGAUGGUACAACGAGUUGCGAACUCGCGAGAGUAAGCUAAUCUCUUAAAGCCAUUCUCAGUUCGGAUUGUAGGCUGCAACUCGCCUACAUGAAGUCGGAAUCGCUAGUAAUCGCGGAUCAGCAUGCCGCGGUGAAUACGUUCCCGGGCCUUGUACACACCGCCCGUCACACCAUGAGAGUUUGUAACACCCAAAGUCGGUGGGGUAACCUUUUAGGAACCAGCCGCCUAAGGUGGGACAGAUGAUUAGGG